rnacentral:rRNA from 1 species
UGCAGUCGAGCGAACAGACGAGGAGCUUGCUCCUCUGACGUUAGCGGCGGACGGGUGAGUAACACGUGGAUAACCUACCUAUAAGACUGGGAUAACUUCGGGAAACCGGAGCUAAUACCGGAUAACAUGUUGAACCGCAUGGUUCAACAGUGAAAGACGGUCUUGCUGUCACUUAUAGAUGGAUCCGCGCCGCAUUAGCUAGUUGGUAAGGUAACGGCUUACCAAGGCAACGAUGCGUAGCCGACCUGAGAGGGUGAUCGGCCACACUGGAACUGAGACACGGUCCAGACUCCUACGGGAGGCAGCAGUAGGGAAUCUUCCGCAAUGGGCGAAAGCCUGACGGAGCAACGCCGCGUGAGUGAAGAAGGUCUUCGGAUCGUAAAACUCUGUUAUUAGGGAAGAACAAAUGUGUAAGUAACUAUGCACGUCUUGACGGUACCUAAUCAGAAAGCCACGGCUAACUACGUGCCAGCAGCCGCGGUAAUACGUAGGUGGCAAGCGUUAUCCGGAAUUAUUGGGCGUAAAGCGCGCGUAGGCGGUUUUUUAAGUCUGAUGUGAAAGCCCACGGCUCAACCGUGGAGGGUCAUUGGAAACUGGAAAACUUGAGUGCAGAAGAGGAAAGUGGAAUUCCAUGUGUAGCGGUGAAAUGCGCAGAGAUAUGGAGGAACACCAGUGGCGAAGGCGACUUUCUGGUCUGUAACUGACGCUGAUGUGCGAAAGCGUGGGGAUCAAACAGGAUUAGAUACCCUGGUAGUCCACGCCGUAAACGAUGAGUGCUAAGU